CAGAUACGGAAGCUCUCUCCACUAAUACGGCCACCAUAUUGACUCAGACCAUGUCACUUUCCACUUGGACUUUGACUCUUGGCAAGAUCCAAGGAGAAAAGACAGGACUGCAUUCACUGGCCUGGAAAGAUUCUUCAGGGACCUUGUUUUUCCUAAGUGAGAUCUCUAACUUCAUGGAUGAUUUAUGAAAAAGCACCAACGACAAUUGCACAGGGUCCUCAGGGUUACCAUUCUGAGCCCGUGUAGCCCUGGAGAUGUAGAAGAUACAAGUAACUGAGCUGGAUUUGUACAGCUGACACCAGAACCUUGCCUUGAAAAAGGCCGAGUCUGAAGUUUCUGAUCUGAGCUUCCUUUGUGUUUGGUGUGUCUCUGUCCUAAAAA